AUUUCAUCACUUGAGUCUUGAAGCCGGUGAAAAUUGUGUGUUUAUCUGUGCUCUCUGCCAAAAAUUGUGAAAAAGUGAAACUUAAGUGCCUAAAACUGUUUAUUUUACCACUUCUUCAAACUAAGGAGAACUAAACGCACUGACGGCAUUCUCCAAAGGAAAGAAUCGCAUUUACUCGGUCUCCUGCCUUGCAAGGAAACAUGCAGACACCGACAGGAACGACGGCAACAACAUCCCCGAGAAAAACAACAACUACAACCACGACAAGGAUUUCAUCAUAGACGACGACGGCAAUUAUUUAAUUUUUUUUAUUUUAUUAUUAUUAUAAUUAAUUUUCUUUUAUUUUUUUUUUCAUUUCUUUUUUAU